GUGGGGAAUCUUGCGCAAUGGGCGAAAGCCUGACGCAGCCAUGCCGCGUGCAGGAAGAAGGCGCUACGCGUUGUAAACUGCUUUUAACCGGGAAGAAACCCCAGGACGUGUCCUGGGUUGACGGUACCGGAGGAAUAAGCACCGGCUAACUUCGUGCCAGCAGCCGCGGUAAUACGAAGGGUGCAAGCGUUAUCCGGAUUCAUUGGGUUUAAAGGGUGCGUAGGCGGAGCGUUAAGUCAGUGGUGAAAUCCUGCAGCUUAACUGUAGACUUGCCAUUGAUACUGGCGCUCUUGAGUGCGCUUGAAGUGGGCGGAAUGUGCCGUGUAGCGGUGAAAUGCUUAGAUAUGGCACAGAACACCAAUUGCGAAGGCAGCUCACUAAGGCGAUACUGACGCUGAGGCACGAAAGCGUGGGGAUCGAACAGGAUUAGAUACCCUUGUAGUCC
rnacentral:rRNA from 1 species